GCAAGCGUCGUAUAAUGGUAAUACCCGACCUUCCCAAGGUCGUGCCGCGGGUUCGAUUCCCGUCGCUUGCUCCA
rnacentral:tRNA from 1 species